rnacentral:misc_RNA from 1 species
GCACCUCAUAUUCCGCGAGAACACGCUUGCCACUAAAGCCAUAGAAGAGUAUAUGAGACUGAUUGGUCAGAAAUACCUCAAGGAUGCCAUUGGAGAAUUCAUCCGUGCUCUGUAUGAAUCUGAGGAAAACUGCGAGGUAGACCCUAUCAAGUGCACAGCAUCCAGUUUGGCAGAGCACCAGGCCAACCUGCGAAUGUGCUGUGAGUUGGCCCUGUGCAAGGUGGUCAACUCCCACUGCCUCCCAUCUUGCUCCUGCGGUC